rnacentral:lncRNA from 1 species
GGGAAACCAGCAUAGAACUGUUCCAGACCCCCUGACCGUGGAUGUCAGUUUAGAGUAAUUGACUGCAGAGCCAUGUCUGAGCCUCUUCAGAAUCAUCUCGGACUCCUCCUCUUGUGUGCUCCCAUGACUGGACUGAAGACACAGUGGUUGGCUUCUCAGUCAGAAGAAAUGGAUCCUGGCCCAGGCACUGCUCCAGGACAUUUCUCCCUAGCCGCAAAGAAGAUGCUGUAGACCAAUGUAUCCUAAUCCCUAGAAGGUCUCUGCCUUCAAAAUCUGUCCAGUAAGAGGAAAAGUCAAGCUGGUGAGUUUAUUCUAAUCUGAUGAUACAAGGCAACUAGUUGAAAAUGUGGCUUAUAUUCCCACCUUUCCAUACCAACAUUAUGAGACUUGGCCAUUGAAACUAUUGGCUAUAUGUAGGUUUGUGUUAGCUAGCUACUUACUUAGAUCACUAUGGUCCAGCAACAUGAAGAGAGCACCUACAUUUUGUGUUGGGUGGAUUCUUAGUAAGCUACAUGAAAACAGGUAUUGCUUAUCUUAUAGUUCCAUGUUUGCUCAGGAUGUUGAAGGUAGAUGUUCCCUAAUGUCAUGGAUGAAUGAAUUUCUACAUCUUUGGCCUCAGACUAUGGCAGACAUAGUUCCCAGGAGUGACAGGACAAAGUGUAUGCUCCAAACUGAUAUUUCCUGUCUGAGUGUUGCUUUUCUCACGUGGAGAAAAGAAAAUAUAUGCUACCAUGAAGCUAUAGCCCAGGCCCCCAGUCAAUCCCCUCAACCAUCAAGUCAGUCCUUCCUCUUAUUCUGCCCUGCUCUUUCCACCACUUCUUUGUCUUAACUGGGCAAUUGAGCUUUAUAGCAUAGUACCAGGCAAUGACUCAGGCCACUGACUCCUGAAAGUACACCUGUCACCUGUUUUGUGGAAUGAGAGGAUUGACAGAACCAAGAAAGAACAUGAGAAUACAACUCAUUUAACAACUUCAUAACAAAAUGGAUCUUAGUUUUCAUAUAUUUUUUUUUAUCACCCAAAUGUUAUGCAAUUAAAAUCAAGGCUCUGGCUUGUUCCUUCUUUCAAGACUGAGCCGUUUUGCCUCUAGCCAACUGGGUAGUGCUUUGUUCAGGUAUAAUUUGGUGAUUUUGUUUUAUUUGAUAUAAAACCUCUGUUCCACAUGUUUUUUUUCCCUCAGAGAUACAUAGCUUAUGAGGUGAUAUGGCUUUAGUUAUAGAUGGUUUAUUGAGGUUGGGAGAUACAGAUUAUAGGGGUAGACCAGAUGUCCAAAUAGGAGAUUGGUUCCUCAAGAUAUUUAAACAUUGGGAAUAAGAGACCUACUAAAAAAUAUUAGGAGAAGGGAUUUCUGACCUUUUGACAAAGCAGUAGGCUUGGUCCUGCUGUGUCCACAGCUGAACCCUCAGGUACCUGGCUAGUGUUGAGUUGUGCUACUACGGCUUGCUUGUCUUCUGCACAUUGUUCACCACCAUGCUUGAACUCUUAGCCUUCCUAUGGCUUCUGGGAUGAAAGCAGGCAUCCUCUCCAUGGCCCACAGGCCUGGGCAGCUUAACUCAUGCCUUCCUGUCUGACUUCAUCUUGUUUCUUAUAGGAAUAGAAAAUGUGCAUCCUGGGCUAACCUGGUGUCAGAUCCCCCUUCUCUAUAACAGUACCAAGGGAAGGUGCUGUUGUUGUCCUCUUAUAGGGGAAGGAACAGAGGGACAAAGAAGUCCCAUCACGUGUCCAAGAGCAAAUGGUUAAGACAGGAUUCACACCCAAGCAGCCAGUCCCUCACAGACCUUGUCCUUCACUCUGCCUUCAAGUGCUAAGGUCCCCUUCAGCAAGGCUGUUUGCUCCUGCUCCCUACCCCACGAGAUUUUCUCCCAGUGUCCUUCAUCCUUUGGCUCUACCUCAAGUGCAUCUUCCUCAGGGAGAUUUACUGGUGUUCAAACUUCUGGAUCACAAGGUUAGGUGAUCUCAAGUGGUACCCUCCGAUGGGAACAUCUGUGACAAGGGAACACUGCCCUUGCACCAUGCAGUGGGGAGGCUGCCAGUGAUACAUGCUGCACUUGGCUUGUGUGAAUGUAGAGUGGAAUUGUUCAUUUUGUUUAAUUUUAAUAAAUUAUGGGUUAAAUCAGUGCAGCUGUGAAGUGUUCGACUGUUUGGGAUUAUAUUCCCUGGGGAGCUCCUGUUGCAAGGGUAGACACAGUUGCUGCUGUCACACCAUCUUUCACUCCUUCCUCUGUGCCUGUCCCAUCCUGAAUGAAGAAGUCACUUUGCCUUGUCUCCAUCAGAGAACAGCGAGGACAGGGGCCAUCUGAAAUCUUAGGAUAGGAGGUGAUUAUUAGCAGCAUGGUCACUGGCAUCAAAGCUGUGUAUGAACCCAGCUCUGCAAGUUGCCCUCGGGUUUCCCACUGGGGAAAGGGAGAGUUUCUACCUAAGAGAAUUGCUCCGCAGAAUGAAUGAAGGGAGCUCAGAAGGUAAAGUGCUCAUUCAGCAAACAUGAGGACCAGAGUUUGAAUCCCAGAACAGGUAAAAAGAGGCAAGAGGUGGCAGUGUUUGCUUGUAAUCCCAGAGCUGGGAGAUGGAGAUGGGAGGAUGCUGGGCUGCUUGCCCCUUUAAGCCUAGUGAAUUAGUGAAUUCCAGGCUAGUGAGAUGCUGGCUACUGAAGUGUGACAGUGGAGGUUGUCCUGUGGCCUCUACCAUCUCUCUCUCUCUCUCUCUCUCUCUCUCUCUCUCUCUCUCUCUCUCUCUCACACACACACACACACACACACACACACACACACACAAUGGUGGAAACUUCUGAAGUGGUUUCCAUUUCUUAUAGCAGUUUCCCACGUAGUGUUUUAUAGCCCUCCCAAUAGGCUGAGAGUAG